AUCCGUCACCUGACACGGCCCUACCAGGAACAGCCGCGCUCCCGCGGAUUCUGGUGCUGCUCGCGUCCCCGCUCCCCUAUUCCCCUUAUUUUAUUCCUGGCUCCCCUCGUCGAAAGUCUUCCAUUCUUCAAACUAGAUUAUUUAAAAAUGAAAAAGGAAGAAAGGAAAGCGAGGUCAUCUCAUUGCUCUAUCCGCCAAUCAGGAGGCUGAAUGUCAGUUUUGAACUAAAAGCCGCUCCGCUCCUCUUCUAGAUUUGGAAAACAAGCGAAAUUAAACUAAACCGCUGCACGCCUCUGACGCGACAUCUGGACACGGCGCGGCGCUGGCGCUGCCGGAGCUGUCGACCCGGCCUGGCGCCGGACUAGUGUCCCUUUUGAUGAGAAGAAUAAGCCUCAUUCUGAUUCAACAGCAGAGAUCAAAGAAAAGACUUCUGUUUUCUGGCCACCAGAUAUAUGUUAUCUGUGCUUAAAGAAUUGAAAAACACACAUCAAAGGAGAAUUUUCUUGGAAAGAGAGGGUUCAAGCAUCACUGUUAGGUGUGCUGGAAUCCUUUCCCGAGUCAGUACUGCUUUCUAGAAGAAAACCGGGGAGAUCUAUUUGGAAUGUAUCUAACUCCAAAGAAACCAUCAGAGGUAACAGUAGAGACGGGGUUUCACCAUGUUGGCCAGACUGGUCUUGAACUCUCGACCUCGUGAUUCGCCCGCCUCGGCCUCCCAAAGUGCUGGGAUUACAGGUGUGAGACACCACACCCGGCGGAUAGAGAGAAUUUUGACAGUAUCUUACAGACAGCAAGUUGAACAUUGUGGGAUGCAUGAGCUAUUGAGGCCUUUGCAGCUUUCUGCUACAUGGAGGCUAGGGCCAGAGUCAAGAUUUAUGCUUUGCAGCACACUGGUCAGCUGUUUUUGCAAAUCAGAUUAAAUGAUUUUUAAAUGAGGCUGAGAGCAUGGGAGAUACUAAUGUGUGUUUCCUUGUGAGCUACUGCAUAAGUUAGGAAAUUGAAAUACAGAAAGAUGAAAAGUGAUUUGCCCAAGCAUAUAGAUCAAAGCUGUGGCAGA
rnacentral:lncRNA from 1 species